GGUUUCCGACAGAAUUGUAGUCUGUAGAGGCGUCAUCUGUGGUUGUUGGGCUUGAAAUCCCUUGGAAUGGGGUAUCAGAGAAGGUGAGAAUCCUGUACUGGCCUGAUCAACCUCAGCACGAUGCGUUCUCGUAGAGUCGGGCUGCUUGGGAGUGCAGCCUGAAGUGGGUGGUAAAUUCCAUCUAAAGCUAAAUAUUGGCGAGAGACCGAUAGCGAACAAGUACCGUGAGGGAAAGAUGCAAAGAACUUUGAAAAGAGAGUUAAAGAGUGCUUGAAAUUGGCAGGAUGAAACCCGGAUAGCAGUGGCAUCGCGUGGCGUCGACUCAGCCCAUCUUGAGGCCUUUAGGAGACCGAAAGGCUCUGUGGCUGUUAGAGGUUGGUGCACUUCGGCGUCAUGGGUCUGYGGCGGCUUUUGCGGAGCAACACGGUUUAGAGUUGGGCUUMGGCGUGGCUCUGGAUGAUGGCUCCUUGGAGGCUCUCGCAGAUGUGCAUGGUGCUAUCCGACCCGUCUAGAAACACGGACCAAGGAGUCUGACGCGUGUGCGAGUACUACAGUUGUAAGCUGUUGUGCGCAAUGAAAGUGAAGGGCGUGCCCCGCCAACCGACCUUGAUCUUCUGUGAAGGGUUUGAGUGGAGCACACGAGUCGGGACCCGAAAGAUGGUGAACUAUGCCUGAGGAGGGUGAAGCCAGAGGAAACUCUGGUGGAGGCUCGUAGCGAUACUGACGUGCAAAUCGUUCGUCGAACUUGGGUAUAGGGGCGAAAGACUAAUCGAACCAUCUAGUAGCUGGUUCCCUCCGAAGUUUCCCUCAGGAUAGCUUGAACGCCGACGGUUUUGUCAGGUAAAGCGAAUGAUUAGAGGCCUUGGGGCUGAAACAGCCUUAACCUAUUCUCAAACUUUAAAUGGGCAAGAGGCGGGGGAUGCUUAAGUGUCCCUCGC
rnacentral:rRNA from 1 species